CUCUAGUACAGAAAGAGUUUCUCAAUGUUCCCUUUCAAUCAGUUGUGUUUUUAUUUUAUUUAUGAGAGAUAAUGGUACAGUUAUUUCUAUACAUUCUUUUUCCAGAUGUCCAGAUUCAUAACUUUAGUAUUUCUCAGACCUUUAUAUUUUGCAACUAUUGGGUCUUAAGAAGGGUCCUGAAUGGUCAGUGAUUGAGAUUUGCUUAAUUGCUGGUAGGCACGUUAUUAAUAACUACAUGCCCUGACCGUUGGUAAAUUUUGUUGUGGUAGGGAUAUAAAUAGCAAUGUUUCCCCUAGAAGUGUGCUUGGAAAGCUCCCCGCAGAACCAGGGUCGUUUCAUCUGACAGUAAAUAAGAAGGAGUGGAAAAGGAAGAGAUGGCUGGAUUCUGUGUGCCUUGUGAUUUUUUGUUGAAAGGAGAACACGAUGUUACUGGCUAAAAGGAGCUGGCCAGAGUGAAGACUUCUGAGCUCCUACAUGCCAAAUCGGAAACUAAAAGUCCCUCUGCUAACUCUUUAUUUAUUGAAAAC